rnacentral:rRNA from 1 species
AGAGUUGAUCAUGGCUCAGAUUGAACGCUGGCGGCAAGCCUCAUACAUGCAAGUCGAGCGAGAACGUUACUUCGGUAGCUAGUAAAGCGGCGGACGGGUGAGUAACGCGUAGGAAUCUACCUUUCAGCGGGGGAUAGCUCGGGGAAACCCGAAUUAAUACCGCAUACACCCUAAGGGGGAAAGAGGGCCUAUCCUUGGAAGCUCUCGCUGUUAGAUGAGCCUGCGUGAGAUUAGUUUGUUGGUGGGGUAAUGGCCUACCAAGACUACGAUCUCUAGCUGGUCUGAGAGGACGAUCAGCCACACUGGGACUGAGACACGGCCCAGACUCCUACGGGAGGCAGCAGUAGGGAAUAUUGGACAAUGGGGGCAACCCUGAUCCAGCUAUGCCGCGUGUGUGAAGAAGGCUCUAGGGUUGUAAAGCACUUUAGGUAAGGACGAAAAGAAUAUAAUUAAUACCUAUAUUCCGUGACUUAACUUACAGAAUAAGGACCGGCUAACUCCGUGCCAGCAGCCGCGGUAAUACGGAGGGUCCAAGCGUUAAUCGGAAUUACUGGGCGUAAAGCGCGCGUAGGCGGUUUGUCAAGUUGGAUGUGAAAUCCCUGGGCUCAACCUAGGAACUGCAUUCAAAACUUAUAGACUAGAGUACGAUAGAGGAGAGUAGAAUUCCUGGUGUAGCGGUGAAAUGCGUAGAUAUCAGGAGGAAUACCAAUGGCGAAGGCAACUCUCUGGAUCGACACUGACGCUGAGGUGCGAAAGCGUGGGUAGCAAACAGGAUUAGAUACCCUGGUAGUCCACGCCGUAAACGAUGAGAACUAGCCG